UGGUAGUUAGCUCAAGUGGUAGAGCAUCUCUUUUACACGGAGGGGGUUGUUGGUUCAAAUCCGAUACUAUCAA
rnacentral:tRNA from 1 species